AUUGAACGCUGGCGGCAUGCUUUACACAUGCAAGUCGAACGGUAACAGGGUGCUUGCACCGCUGACGAGUGGCGAACGGGUGAGUAAUGCAUCGGAAUGUACCGUGUAAUGGGGGAUAGCUCGGCGAAAGCCGGAUUAAUACCGCAUACGCCCUGAGGGGGAAAGUGGGGGACCGAAAGGCCUCACGUUAUACGAGCAGCCGAUGUCUGAUUAGCUCGUUGGUGAGGUAAAGGCUCACCAAGGCGUCGAUCAGUAGCGGGUCUGAGAGGAUGAUCCGCCACACUGGGACUGAGACACGGCCCAGACUCCUACGGGAGGCAGCAGUGGGGAAUUUUGGACAAGGGGCGCAAGCCUGAUCCAGCCAUGCCGCGUGUCUGAAGAAGGCCUUCGGGUUGUAAAGGACUUUUGUCCGGGAGCAAAUCCUAGUGGUUAAUAACCGCUGGGUCUGAGAGUACCGGAAGAAUAAGCACCGGCUAACUACG
rnacentral:rRNA from 1 species